UGCUUAAUGUCUCUACUUUCAUUCACUGA
rnacentral:piRNA from 1 species